rnacentral:rRNA from 1 species
AUUGAACGCUGGCGGCAGGCUUAACACAUGCAAGUCGAGCGGAGCGAGGGUGCUUGCACCUUAGCUUAGCGGCGGACGGGUGAGUAAUGCUUAGGAAUCUGCCUAUUAGUGGGGGACAACAUUCCGAAAGGAAUGCUAAUACCGCAUACGCCCUACGGGGGAAAGCAGGGGAUCUUCGGACCUUGCGCUAAUAGAUGAGCCUAAGUCGGAUUAGCUAGUUGGUGGGGUAAAGGCCUACCAAGGCGACGAUCUGUAGCGGGUCUGAGAGGAUGAUCCGCCACACUGGGACUGAGACACGGCCCAGAAUCCUACGGGAGGCAGCAGUGGGGAAUAUUGGACAAUGGGCGGAAGCCUGAUCCAGCCAUGCCGCGUGUGUGAAGAAGGCCUUUUGGUUGUAAAGCACUUUAAGCGAGGAGGAGGCUACUUAGAUUAAUACCCAAGAUGAGUGGACGUUACUCGCAGAAUAAGCACCGGCUAACUCUGUGCCAGCCGCCGCCGUAACAC